CCCAACUAGCUAGACCCAUUUACCUAUAAUAAUUUCAUCUAAUACAUUUCACACCCAAAACCAAGCUUAGAACAAGGCUUAGAUUAGACUCUACAAGGAGAUCAUCAUUAAAGGAGGGCCAUUCUCAACCCUUCUCCGUCUAUAAAACCUCCUCCUCCAAUAAGGGAGAGAGGCAAACAAAUUGUGCAAAAACUCUCUCCCCAUAACUACAUGACAUACUUUCACCAUCAUAAAUAGUAGCUAUGCGCACUUCCACCAUGUGAACCACCUUUUUCGUAGCAAUUCUUUGCACCUCCAAUAGUAUGAACUGUUGAACUACUCUUAUAUUUUGUGUUGUGACAAUUUACGUUGUCUAUGGGAAGAUAGCUCAACCAGCUCAGGACGCUCUACAGCACAAACAGAUGAGGUAGACUAUGGGCAAGAGGAUCAACACUAAUAGGAUCAAUGGGAAUAUGGAAACGAUUAGUAUGACAAAAACAACUUUUUUUUUUUCUCAGUUUAUUAAGACAUAAAAAUUGGCAAAUACACACCAAAUAAAAAGCGCACAACAUAGCUAAUAACGCAAUAAAACUAAGCUACCAAUAUUCUUUACCCUGAUAAAAUCACCAAAUAAAAGCAGACAAUAUAGCUGAUAAAACGAUAAAACACAAAAUUUAUGCCACCAACAUCCAUCAAUGCCUGAUUUGGCCAAAGCAUCUGCCCAACAAUUUGCCUUUUUACAUUCAAUUUUAACUUGAACAAUUGUAGAUCAAUCCUUUUGAAAAAAAACGACUAUUACCAACAUGACUACAACCAAUAAUAAAAUUAUCAACAACAGCUAGGGAUAGAACAUCUCAGAGCAUCUAGGUCACGAAUAGAAUGGUCAACCAAAUGACCAAAGGAGCUACCAUUCGGGACAUCAGCAUGAACAGACUGUCGAGACGCUAUCAGGAUCACCCGAACCAACCAAGCCCCCUAAAAGGUAAUCAUUAAUCAUGACACCAAGGGGUUGAGAAUCCAACUACGCAAAAUCAUACCCCGACGAUGCAGCAGUACACAGAGAUUUAAGAGCAGUUUAGGCUCUUAUUGGAGAAAUACAAUCAGCAACAGGGACUAUACAACAGAGUGCUCAGAUUAUUCAUGAACUAAGGGUGGAGUAGUCUCCUCCAAAAAUAGUGAAUGUGAAACCAAAGGCAUGAAGAAAUCGUAUCAUUUGUGGCUGGGUGAAGGGAACACCCCACAAAAGAAGGAAAAAAGGACCUGAGGCGUGGUUCGGAGGAAGUACUUUCAAAAACUAUAAAC
rnacentral:lncRNA from 1 species